rnacentral:rRNA from 1 species
CGAGUCUGACUGUAUCUGAGCCCCCUCUCAGGACGAGGGUAAUUCUGCCUAAAGGCCCCCGUCCAACGAUCGAUACUGGGCCUAAAAAGAGAGGACGUAGGCGGCUUGGAAAGCCCGGUGGAAUCCCUCGGCUCAACCGAGGAACUGCGCUCAAAACUGCCAGGCUAGAGGAAGAUAGAGGUGAGCGGAACUAAUGGUGGAGCGGUGAAAUGCGUUGAUAUCAUUAGGAACACCUGUGGCGAAAGCGGCUCACUGGAUCUUUUCUGACGCUGAGGCACGAAAGCUAGGGUAGCGAACGGGAUUAGAUACCCCGGUAGUCCUAGCCGUAAACGAUGAGCACUAGGUUGGAGGCUCCUUCACAGGCUUCCGACCGAAGCGAAAGUGUUAAGUGCUCCGCCUGGGGAGUAUGGUCGCAAGGCUGAAACUCAAAGGAA